CCUACGGGUGGCAGCAGUGAGGAAUAUUGGUCAAUGGGAGAGAGCCUGAACCAGCCAAGCCGCGUGAGGGAAGACGGUCCUAUGGGUUGUAAACCUCUUUUGUCGGAGAACAAAACCCGGGACGUGUCCCCGACUGCGUGUACCCGAAGAAAAAGCAUCGGCUAACUCCGUGCCAGCAGCCGCGGUAAUACGGAGGAUGCGAGCGUUAUCCGGAUUUAUUGGGUUUAAAGGGUGCGUAGGCGGUCCGUUAAGUCAGCGGUAAAAUUGCGGGGCUCAACCCCGUCGAGCCGUUGAAACUGGCAGACUUGAGUUGGCGAGAAGUACGCGGAAUGCGCGGUGUAGCGGUGAAAUGCAUAGAUAUCGCGCAGAACUCCGAUUGCGAAGGCAGCAUGCCGGCGCCAGACUGACGCUGAGGCACGAAAGCGUGGGGAUCGAACAGGAUUAGAUACCCUUGUAGUC
rnacentral:rRNA from 1 species